rnacentral:tRNA from 1 species
GCUUGCUGGACCGCCGAAAAUCUGAUUCGUAAUCAGUAGGUCACCAGUUCGAUUCCGGUCAGCAGCACCA